rnacentral:rRNA from 1 species
UAUCUCUGUAGAGUCUGCAUAUCAAUAAGCGGAGGAAAAGAAACUAACAAGGAUUCCCUUAGUAACGGCGAGUGAAGCGGGAAGAGCUCAAAUUUGAAAUCUUCAAGGUUCUACCUUGACGAAUUGUAGUUUAAAGAAGUGUUUUCUGUUAGAUGAGUAGCAAGAGUUCCUUGGAAUGGGACAUCAUAGAGGGUGAGAAUCCCGUAUUUGGUUAUUCAUUCUAGCUUUGUGAUACACUUUCAAAGAGUCGGAUUGUUUGGGAAUGCAGUCCAAAAUGGGUGGUAAAUUUCAUCUAAAGCUAAAUAUUGGCGAGAGACCGAUAGCGAACAAGUACCGUGAGGGAAAGAUGAAAAGAACUUUGAGAAAGAGAGUUAAACAGUACGUGAAAUUGUCAAAAGGGAGGCGUUUGACACCAGUGUUGUUUUUCCGAAAAUCAAUUACGAAUGGCUUGAUUUUGUGUUGUAUUGACCUUAUCAGCUUUCUUCACUUUUUUCGAGUCUUUCUUAAUGCACUUUUCGGUUAACAAGUCAACAUCAAUUUCUUUUGUUGUAAAAGAGUAUUCGGAAGGUGGCUUUCUUUUCGGAGAAAGUGUUUAUAGCCCUAUACUUCUACAAUCGGAGAGAUUGAGGUCUGCAGCGUAGAUCCUUCGGGGUUAGAUACACUUGUGCUAAGUUGUAGCUUUUCAUAGACAACUUGUUGACUAUGUUUAGUCAUGCGGCUUACUCGCUUAUGCUAUUUUACCUACGCUUAGGAUGUUGACUGAUAUGUAGUCGUA